rnacentral:rRNA from 1 species
CGAUGAUACGCGAGAAACCUUACCAGGGCUUGUACAUAUACAGGAAUGUUGUAGAGAUACAGCAGCCGCUUGCGGUCUGUAUACAGGUGCUGCAUGGCUGUCGUCAGCUCGUGCUGUGAAGUGUUGGGUAAGUCCCGCAACGAGCGCAACCCCUAUCAUCUGUUGCCAGCAUUUAAGGUGGGGACUCAGAUGAGACUGCCGGUGACAAACCGGAGGAAGGUGGGGACGACGUCAAGUCAUCAUGGCCCUUAUGUCCUGGGCUACACACGUGCUACAAUGGCCGGUACAGAGUGAAGCGAAACCGCGAGGUGAAGCAAAACGCAGAAAGCCGGUCUCAGUACGGAUUGGAGUCUGAAACUCGACUUCAUGAAGUUGGAAUCGCUAGUAAUCGCGCAUCAGCAUGGCGCGGUGAAUACGUUCCCGGGCCUU